rnacentral:lncRNA from 1 species
GCAAGAAUUCCUGCAGUCUGGGAGUUACUCCAGGCUGUCUGGAGAGGAAAGACAGGCCAUGUAGGGAUUGUCUGGACCUGGUGAGUAGAGGGUCUCAGAAACCCGGAGCUAAUCCCAAGGAGGUUGCAGUCAUUAGCUAAAAGCCAAGAGGGAACUUUGGAGUCAGGGUGUUGGUUCAACCCAUGCAGCUAUGCUGCAUUCGGCUCCAUGGUUUUCUAGCUGUGGGGUCCCUGAAAGCCUUGCUUAAUGCUGAAUCUCGGUUCCUUCAAUUGUAAAAGGGGAUCAUUAGCAGUGUCUUCCUCCCAAGGUGGUUGUGAACAGUAAAUCGUAAUGAUCACCAAGGACCUAAUGUAAUUUCAUGUGACAACCUAACAAAAAAUGACUCGAUUAGAAGACAAGAAGGGUAGUCCAAUCAUGCUUCAUGUAUGGUACAUUGUAUGUGCUCAAUAAAACCUUUUUAAAAAAAAGAUGUUUAUUUAUUUAUUUGAAAGGCAAAGUGACAGAGAAGGAAGAGAUGAGGAAAUAAGAGAGAGAGAGAGAGAGAGAGAGAGAGAGAGAAAGAGAGAUUCAUUCCACAAAAGCUUGCAACAGCCGGGGUGGGCCACGCUGAAACCAGGAGCCUGACUCCAUAUAGGUCUCCCACACGAUGGCAGGGCUCCACGUACUCUGUCUAUCAUCUGUUGCUUUCACAGAUGCAUCAGCAGGAAGCUGGACUGGAAGUGGUGUGGCCAGGUCUCCACACGGCACUCCAACCCCGGAUGUGGGUGCCUCAAGCAGCAGCUAACCUCACAGCACAACUACACCCACCCUCAAUACAGCUUUUUUAAAUUAGGUCCAUUUGGAGUUCUUUCUGGUACGUGUAUGAAGUGUGAACCCAAUUUAUCUUUUCUCCAAAUGGUUAUCCAGCUGUCUCAAGUUCAUUUAUUAAGUGUCCUUGUUUUCUCCAGUGAUUUGAGGUCAUACUUAUAUUUUCAUAUAUACUUGUACUUAUUCCUAGGUUUUCUACUGCAUUCCAUUCAAUUUGUGUGCUAGCAUCAAACUUUGUGUAGUAAGGUAUUUUAGUAUCUAGAAAGGCAUGUUCUUUCUUCUUCUGUUCCACAAAUUUCCAGCGAUUCCUGAAUGUUUACUUUUUCUUUGGUCUUUAAAUCAACUUACCUUGAUUCAAGAAGACAAACAGUUGCCGUUCAUAUUGGAAUUAUAAUAAAUUUAUUAGACUGAAGAAAAUUGAUAUUUUU